rnacentral:pre_miRNA from 1 species
GUGUGUGGAUAGUGUUCAGCACCAAGGAUAGGUGUGUUUGGUUGUGUGGAUGUUGUUCAGCACCAAGGACAUGUGUGUUUGGUU